AAAACAAAAGACAAGGGGCUUUAAUCUUUAUCCAAAUUAGUUUCCAUUUGUGGAGCUUCUUCUACCCAAAAUUUGGGGGCUGAGAAAGGGUUUAGGGGUUGGGGGAAUUGAUAGAAAAGGUUCGUUUAAUGAAGACUGCGACGAAUCCAGAGAUACUUGAGGAGGUUGACGACGAAGGAUGUGGAAGUGAUGAUUUGGUGGAUGAUGUUUAUGUGGCGGAGCAAAUUGGCUUAGAUGGUGGUGUUUCAGAGAGACCCUCAAGAACCAGUGAGCUCAAUCUCUCCUUUGAAGGAGAGGUCUUUGUCUUCCCUGCUGUCACACCUGACAAGGUGAAAACUGUUCUCUUGCUAUUGGGAGGGCGUGAUAUACCUACUGCUGUUCCAACACUUAAACUUCCAUUUGAGAAUAGCAGGGGUGUAGGUGAUAAUCCCAGGCGGUCAAAUCUGUCAAGACGACUAGCUUCUCUAGUUAGGUUCCGUGAGAAGCGUAAGGAAAGAUGUUUUGACAAGAAAAUUAGAUAUACUGUGCGAAAAGAAGUUGCGCAGAGGAUGCAUCGUAAGAAUGGACAUUUUGCUUCCGUUAGAGAUGGUUCAGGUGAUUCGAACUGGGAAACUAGCCAGAGUGGCCUUCAAGAUGGCACAUUUCACUAGGAAACUACCACUAGGAGAUGUGAGCACUGUGAUGAAAGUAAUACUCCUGCAAUGCGUCGAGGGCCAGCUGGACCGAGGACUUUGUGUAAUGCUUGUGGUCUAAUGUGGGCCAACAAGGUCCUCUCCCUUUUUUCUCUCUCUCUACCCUCCCAUUUGUCUUGCUUGAGUCUCGAUGGUUGCUGUUUUUUUUGUCAGUGUGAUAAGCCGUAUAGCGUCUACACUAGAAGAAAGUCACGUGUUCCUGCAUCUUGAAGGAGGAAGAAUCACGUGACUAGUCUGUUGUAUAUAAGCUUUGUUAGCCAUUUUGUAGAGUUUAUGCAUUGUUUGUUGUAUGUUGAGUGACGUAUGUGUCGCUUAGGGAGAUAGAGUUGAUGAAUCGGUGAUGUGCCCAUGGCUCUAUUCUUUGUAACAGUGCAUCGAAAGUAAUAGAUAAGAGUUUACACAUUGAUUCUUAUCAAUCGGUGCGUUUGUGAUCGAGAUCGAAGUCAUCGCAGAAGAUUAGGUUUUCAAGCAAUUUUGGGGUUUGUUGCAAUCAACGGAUUCGAAGAUUGAAGAUGAUGAUGGAGCAAGUAUUAUCGCCGGAGUUAUCGGCAUCAGAACAAGUGGCGAUUGAAUUUUACGAUCAAUUUUCGGCGGUGAAAACAAGGAUUUGUUCUUCUGAAGCUCGUAUGAAUUCAAAGAUCGGCCUAAGAAAAGAUUUCUUGAUUCAAUCCUUUCCGGGCAAAGAGACGGUACUUGAGGGUGGUGGUUUAAGCGAAGCAGAAGCUGCAAGAUCACAAAAUCGACUUAAUCAGGUAUCUUUCUUUUCUCUGGAACCUUGCCUUAGUGAGAAUAAGCCUGGUAUUAGAGACAACCUUCUCAAGAACGUAGAGAUGGCAGUAUUUGAAGGCUUUGGGAUUUAUGGUUGGAUUGCGCUUGUUGAGCGUUUCUUUUGAAUGGGUGGAUACAACGAUGCAGAGAAACUAGUCUUAGCUUCAGUGAGCUUGCAAGGAGAAGCAUUGAGCUGGUACAACUUGGAAAUUAACAAGAGUCAGUUUGAAAGUUGGGUUCAGUUUAAGUCGGGAUUGAUGCUGAAAUUUGGCUCGAAGAUUAGAGGACCAAGUAUAAGUUUAUUUCGUAUCAAACAGACAGGAACAAUAGCGGAGUAUAUACAACGAUUUGAGGAUCUUUCAUCACAAGUAUCUGGGUUGGAUGAGCAGAAACUUGAAGGGAUUUUUCUCAAUGGGUUAACACGGGAAAUGCAGGAGCUUAUUCAUAAGCAAAAGCCACGUAAUUUGCUGGAGAUGAUGGCUGUAGCUAGAGCUAUGGAGUCAUGUAUAAAGAGAAAAGUUGUUAAAGAAGAAUUGAUGUUGGCCAGUAAAGAGAAUAAUGAGAUUUAUGGAUCUGAUUAUGUAGUGACUAUGCUAAACGAAUCAAGUCAAGAAGCAUGCUCACAUAAGACUGGGUCAAUAUCAGAUUCUGUGCAGAAGAUUGAGGAUUUUUCAUCUCAGGUUAAUGGGUUAGAUGAUCAGAAGUUAGAAGGGACAUUGUUGAAUGUAUUAACACAAGGAAUUAUGAAAGGGAAUAGAGAUAACAUGGUGAAAAAGAUCGAGUUGCCAAUUUUUCAUGGAUUGUAUCCAUGUAGUUGGAUAACACAGGUGGAAAGAUUAAUUCGCUCUGAUCAACAUACUGACAUGGAGAAGAUACAGUUGGUAACGCAGAAAUUAAAGGGAGAUGCUCUUAGUUGGUUCAAGAAUGUGUCUUUCAAGAAUUGGAAAGAUUUCAAGUCAAAGUUGUAUGUUCGAUUUGGGAAUUUGGCUCCAGUUACUCUGCAGCCAUUGUCAGCUCUGAAACAUGAGCCUUCCUUAGCCACAAAAUCAUUGGCAGAGACUGAUUUGCAUCAAGAACAGGAACCGCAGGGGGAAAAUGCUGUCGAUGGUGUGCUCCAACCACAAAAAAAUGAGAAUUUAAUCUUUGCGGAUCAUCAAGAUGCAUCAUUAACUUGUUCUCAUGCAACAAGGGAUCAAUUUAAGUCACAACCGGGCCUUAUUUUAGAAGAUUUACACUCUGGUUUUAGCAUUGAUCUAUUGAGAACUCAACAAAACGGGAUAUUAGAAGUUUUAAGUGUCUCAUAAGUGGCGGAUUACUACAAGGAGUCAGUAAGUAUGAUGGCAAAAUCUUUUGUAUAUCAUAUAUUCGAUAAGGUGUUUCUUAAAAGGCACAGUUUACAAAAGAAGCUGCAAAAAGAAGAGGGUUCAAGAACCUACAAGCACAAAUGGAAAUCUAAGGAACUACAAGCAGUCCUGAUAAUUGGGAGUGAUUCACGUGGAAGUGAUGUUACAUAUGGCACCUGCUCUGCUGAAACUGUAGACAAGAGAGACUGUUUUUUAGUAUGGCAUCGCUGGAGAAAGAAGAAACUGCAGAAGAUUAACUUGGAACUAUGGCUGUUGCACACUUUUCUUCACCAUAUUAUACAAAGUUACACAAACUGGAUCUGUUUUAUAUGGGGACAACAGAGGCUCAGACUUUCCCAGGGCCUGGAACUAAACGGUGACACUAUCAUGGCCUCAGCGAUUGCCGUCAUUGGUUUCUAUUGUCACAACACUUGCUACUACACAACUUGAGGACAAGCAACAAUUUUCAACUCUGCAUUUCAUGGAGCAGAUCAAUAUAUCUCAGUUCUGGCCAACUUUGAGAGUUUCUUCUUUAAUUCGUUAUCACAUGAGUAGAAAUUUACAGUGGGAUGUUGAUAGUGAUGAACUUGAGCCAGCCGAACAAAAGAGGAGUCAUGGUUACUCGAUUUGGGAAAUUCAUAAAAUACAAAAAGGGAAGUGUGUUAACGGGAGCAUGUUUUCAUUUAUAUUGGGCAUGCCUUCUUAUUCUUCUGUGUGGCAUUGUUGGCAAAUUAAAGAACUGCAAUGUGAAGAGUACAACAGUGGUAUUACAUACAAGACUGCUAUUGCGUGUUUUUGGGUGUUGAAACAGCACACAAUAUAUAAACACGCCAGGGAACGUUGAGAGAUCUCAGCAAAGGAUCCAUGAAUCUUUCUGUGUCUCAGAUUGAACCUGAGACCCAAGUAGAUAUUAAACCACUCUACACUGAAGACUCCAGCAAGCAGGUUGAAAAUGUAUGCUGCCAUGUCAAUUUCUACACUAUUCUUUACAAGACCUUGAUGCUAUCAUAAUAUUGAUAGCUCAGCUUGCAGGGAGUUUAAGUAGAUCCUACUAAAGCAAUACAAGAGUUUCCCCUCGAAACCGAUGGCACUCCCGAUAUUGGAAUGCUUUCAUCGGCCGAUGAUGAUGAUGAUGAUAAUGAUGAUCAUUGUUCUAAAGUAAAAAUUAUAUUCGUUCUGUCUAUGUAGAUUCUUGGAAUUAUGGAUUGAAGAUCCCCUUGAUAGCCCAUGUUCCUCAAGUAGCAUUAUAAUAAUUUAGUUUUGGGGGAUGCAGGAACCUCUUGUGAAUCUGGCUAAUCCAUCUGAUACAGACUUUGAUUUACCUUCUAGCUUUGAUUAGUUAGAAGGACAUCAGGUAUGAGAUUCCAUGUGAGUAACUAUGAGGCAGCUUCAUCGGACGGAGCACAGCUUUGUGGAUGGAGGCUAGCUAGAGUAGUUGUUUGUAACAUUAGACAAUAGAUAAAUAAGUUACGGGGCUAGAAAUGAGUUUGAAGCGUUCCUUAUUUGUACAUACUGAUUAUGUAUCAAUCUAUACUUGGCACUUACUAGAUUCAGUACAUACAUGACUGAUGACUCCAUCAUAAGUCGAAAAUUGUUGUAAAACAUUUGGAGUGGACUUCUAUAACCGGCCCAUUACUUAUCUUAUUGUGUAAGGCUCAUCGGCCAUGUCCUAGUCGGUUUAGGUUUAGGCUUUGCCUACUACUAUAUAAUGUACUUGUUCGAUUGAUGAAUAAUAAUAAG